rnacentral:rRNA from 1 species
CAAUAGCGUAUAUUAAAGUUGUUGCGGUAAAAAAGCUCGUAGUUGGAUUUCUGUUGAGAGCGACCGGUCCAUACCAUGUAUGCGUAUCUGGCUUGCUCUCGGCAUCCUCUCGAUAGACGUUACUGCGCUUGAUUGCGUGGUGCGGAUCUCGGGACUUUUACUUUGAGGAAAUUAGAGUGUUCACGGCAGGCUUUCGCCAGAAUACAUUAGCAUGGAAUAAUACUAUAGGAUCUUGGUUCUAUUUUGUUAGUUUCUAGAAUUGAGAUAAUGAUUAAUAGGGACAAUUGGGGGCAUUCGUAUCAACACGUCAGAGGUGGAAUUCUUGGAUUGUGUUGCGACGAACUACUGCGAAAGCAUUUGCCAAGGAUGUUUUCAUUGA